rnacentral:lncRNA from 1 species
AGCGGCCCCAGGUGGGCGGGGAGGGAGCGUGAGCGAAGGAGGGGAGGCGGGACGUGAGGUGUAGGGCGCGGGGCGUUGCAUGCUGGGAGGGCAGGGGCCUCGGUGGAGAUCCCUUCGAGAUUGCCUUCGGGAAUCCUCCCCCUGGUUCUUCGUCCUAAGAGGAUCUUGUCCUGGAGGGUAUCCCGGACUAGGAGGGGGUUCUUAGAGAGCGUCGCGGGUUCGGGAGGUGGUUCGGAAUGUGUCUUUUGACUUCACGAUGACUUGGACCGUGGUCCACCCAGGUGUCAGUCCUUACGCAUGCCUUUAAAAGACUUGAAAUUAUCUGGAUCCUGACAUCUUCCUUUUCGGACCUGCUGAGUCACGGAAUAUUGUCAGUGCCAGAAUGACUCAGUUCGCAGAGCCCGAGCCAAAAGAUCAUGAGUUUUAGUCUCAGAUCAGAACUACCUACAGUGCUGAUGGGACAAGCAGACAGGGGAAGGGAGGUUGCUGCAAAAAUGAUCCAGUUGAGAGCCGGGCGUGGCAACACACUGCUGUGAUUCCCAACCGGAGAUGCAAAACAGACUCACCAAGUGACCGCUCCAGGCGCAUUUUUAAAAAACUUUCGAACUUAAUGAUACAGUGAUAACAAUAAAUACGAUUUUGGCUUCAGUAGUCCUUUUAAGGCUAAGGAUAUUGGCCCGUCGGUGGUGGCACACGCCUUUAGUCCCAGCACUUGGGAGGCAGAGGCAGGUGGAUCUCUCUCUGUGAGUUCGAGACCAGCCUGGUUUACAAGAGCUAGUUCCAGGACAGCCUUCAAAGCCACAGAGAAACCCUGUCUAAAAAAAAAAAAAAAAAAAAAGAUUAAGGAUAUUGGUAUCUACAAGAUGGCUCAGUGGGUAAGGCACCUGCCACCAAGUCUGAGUUCAAUCUAUUUCCAUAACAACACCAUGGCUCUCGUGUGCCCACAUAUAUAGACACACAAAAAACUAAAUAAAUAAUGUAAUUUAAAAAAUAGAAAUAGUGGGCAUAUGAAAUAGUGAAAUAAGUAAAUGAUAGGUAAUGAUAGUUAGGGUCAGUGUUGAGUCCUAAUUAAGAAGGCCUUAAGGAUAACGGACUACUGUGAUGAGUAGGGGUUACUGUCCAGGGAACUUGUAAUACUGAACCUACCUGGGAAAGCACCCACCUGCCUAUUUGCUGAGAUGGUGGAGAUUAUGUAUGCUGAAGGUCUCUAACACUUUACCCCUAUAACUCUUUUCAGAAAGAAAACUGG